UACGUAGGGUGCAAGCGUUGUCCGGAAUUAUUGGGCGUAAAGAGCUCGUAGGCGGUUUGUUGCGUCGGCUGUGAAAUCCCGAGGCUCAACCUCGGGUCUGCAGUCGAUACGAGCAAACUAGAGUGUUGCAGGGGAGACUGGAAUUCCUGGUGUAGCGGUGAAAUGCGCAGAUAUCAGGAGGAACACCUGUGGCGAAGGCGGGUCUCUGGGCAACAACUGACGCUGAGGAGCGAAAGCGUGGGGAGCGAACAGG
rnacentral:rRNA from 1 species